rnacentral:rRNA from 1 species
AACGAACGCUGGCGGCAGGUCUUAGGCAUGCAAGUCGAACGGGUGUAGCAAUACAUCAGUGGCGCACGAGUGAGUAACGCGUGGGAAGCUGCCCUUCACUGGGGAAUAACGUUUGGAAACGAACGCUAAUACCGCAUACGCCGGAAACGGGAAAGAUUUAUCGGUGAAGGAUGCGCCCGCGUUGGAUUAGCUUGUUGGUGGGGUAACGGCCUACCAAGGCGAUGAUCCAUAGCUGGUCUGAGAGGACGAUCAGCCACGCUGGAACUGAGACACGGUCCAGACUCCUACGGGAGGCAGCAGCUAAGAAUAUUGGACAAUGGGGGAAACCCUGAUCCAGCCAUGCCGCGUGAAUGAAGAAGGCCUUCGGGUUGUAAAGUUCUUUUAGUCGUGAAGAUGAUGACAGUAGCGACAGAAAAAGCACCGGCUAACUUCGUGCCAGCAGCCGCGGUAA